UCCAUCAUUACUUUAAGACAUGAAGGUCAGUCAAUACAACAGUCCAUCAUUACUUUAAGACAUGAAGGUCAGUCAAUACAACAGUCCAUCAUUACUUUAAGACAUGAAGGUCAGUCAAUACAACAGUCCAUCAUUACUUUAAGACAUGAAGGUCAGUCAAUACAACAGUCCAUCAUUACUUUAAGACAUGAAGGUCAGUCCAUACAACAGUCCAUCAUUACUUUAAGACAUGAAGGUCAGUCAAUACAACAGUCCAUCAUUACUUUAAGACAUGAAGGUCAGUCCAUACAACAGUCCAUCAUUACUUUAAGACAUGAAGGUCAGUCCAUACAACAGUCCAUCAUUACUUUAAGACAUGAAGGUCAGUCAAUACAACAGUCCAUCUUUACUUUAAGACAUGAAGGUCAGUCCAUCAUUACUUUAAGACAUGAAGGUCAGUCAAUACAACAGUCCAUCAUUACUUUAAGACAUGAAGGUCAGUCAAUACAACAGUCCAUCAUUACUUUAAGACAUGAAGGUCAGUCAAUACAACAGUCCAUCAUUACUUUAAGACAUGAAGGUCAGUCAA